rfam:Tncinocarpus reesii 1704 scaffold_1 genomic scaffold, whole genome shotgun sequence.
GGGAGGUUGGCCGAGUGGUUAUGGCGCUAGGUUUAGGCCCUAGUUUCUUUUGAUUCGCGCGUUCGAAUCGCGCACCUCUCA